rnacentral:RNase_P_RNA from 2 species
UGACCGGACCAAACGAUCGCGGGGUGUCUUUGACACCCGGAGGAAAGUCCGAACACCGCAGGACAGGACGCUCCAUAACGUGGAGUCACGGCGACGUGAAGGAAAGUGCAACAGAGAAUAGACCGCCUUAAAAUUGGCAACAAUUUUAAGGUAAGGGUGAAACGGUGCGGUAAGAGCGCACCAGUUUUCCAGGUGACUGGAAAAGCUUGGUAAACCCCGUCCGGUGCAAGACCAAAUAGGGAAAUGCUUGAGGGCUGUCCGUCCGAGUUUCCGGGUAGGUUGCAUGAGGUGCAUGGCAACAUGUAUCCCAGAUGAAUGAUCGUUGGCCCGCGGCAGGGUAACCGGCCCGGGUGACAGAAUUCGGCUUACGGGACGGUCAGACC